CUUGAACUCAGAGAUCUGACUGCCUCUGCCUCCAGAGUGUUGGGAUUAAAUGUGUGCAUCAUAUUUUCCCUGCUACUUCAUCACUACAAUUUUACUAGUUAUGAAACAAUGUAAUAUCUGAUUUUCAGGACAGCUGAUUUGUGAUCCCUGUGAAAGGGCUGAUCAAUCUCCCAAGGGAUUGCAACCCAUAGCUUGAGAACCGCUCUAGCAGGAAGAAGUAGGCCACUGUGGGCAUUGUCUGAAAGUGUAUUAUCUUGUGCCCAAGACCCUUCUUGUUUGCUGUCUUUCCUAGUCCUAUGAGUUUUUCCACAGGUCUGCAAAUCUGCUUGGGAAUCACUCAAAAUGUGGCUAUUGCAGGACAGUUAUGGCGCACGCCUUUAAUCCCAGCACUUGGGAGGCAGAGGCAGGGAGAUCUCUGUGAGUUCAAGGCCAGACUGGUCUACAGAGUGAGUUCCAGGAUGGCCAAGGCUAUACAGAGAAACUUUGUCUCAAAAAACCAAAACUAUGUCUAUCUUUUUAUUAUAAUGAAAAUGUUCUGUGGUGUGGUUUCUUAUUUGUAUGUGUGGGGGAAUCAAUACUGAAAACUCCUAAGUGAUAUCUUGAGAUGUGGGGCGUCUAGCAAAAAUAUAAGAUAUAGUUGAAAAUCACUAGUUAUAUCAAAAUUGGAACUGAAAUUUUUAGACCAAGUCCUGACUUAAAUCACAUGUGGCUAAAACAACCAUUAAAACCACAACAACACAAUCAGUUGAAACACAGUGGUAUGAGUUGAACUAAUAAAUGAAAAGUUGGAAGCCUGCAA